AGGCGUUGAUCGUCGUGGCUCUUAAUGGAACUCUUCAGAACAAGAUCGGAGCUUUGGCCCGAUCACCAAAUGACGCGCACGAUCCGCCGUCUUCGUUUCUCUUUCUUCGCAGAUGACAAAUGCCGUGCACUUGCGCCGCGCGCCGGCCGGGGUGUUCAACAUUUCGGGCUGGUAGCUCAGGUGGUUAGAGCGCACGACUGAUAAUCGUGAGGUCGGAGGUUCGAGUCCUCCUCGGCCCACCAAGCGAUUUUUGCCCUGCGGGCAAAAACGCGUCGCCGCGGCAGGCAAUUCGCUUCAGCGAAAUGCCGAGAGCGGCAAUCGCGGGCGCUUCUCACCGUUUGCUUGCGCAAACGGUUGCCAGCGCAACGUCGUUUUGGCGAUGCCAAAACAACUUGGGGCGUUAGCUCAGCUGGGAGAGCACCUGCUCUGCAAGCAGGGGGUCAUCGGUUCGAUCCCGAUACGCUCCACCAAAUUCAUCAAGGGCGAGCGAUCAGCGCCAUUGGGCAGCGAUUGCUUGCCGGGUCAUCUGCAGGAAGAAACAAGUUUGCGGCAGCCGUCCGGUGGCCGCGUGUUCUGUGUACAUCGUAAAGAGAAGAUUUGUCCGGGCCCCGCAUUUGCGGGGCGUCGGCGGCCAUGCUCCAAUGGCUGCCACCAGGAUUGGCUGCCUAACCGCGCCAUCGGACAGGUCUCGAGAAGCUGGUCUUUUCUGCCAAUCCCGCGUUCAUCGUGGGCAUUGGCAAUGAGAACGAUCAAGUGUCUUAAGGGCAUUUGGUGGAUGCCUUGGCAUGCACAGCCGAUGAAGGACGUGAUACGCUGCGAAAAGCCACGGGGAGCUGCGAAUACGCUUUGAUCCGUGGAUAUCCGAAUGGGGAAACCCGGAAGC
rnacentral:misc_RNA from 1 species